rnacentral:rRNA from 1 species
UACGGGGGGGGUAAGCGUUGUUCGGAAUUACUGGGCGUAAAGGGCUCGUAGGCGGCCAACUAAGUCAGACGUGAAAUCCCUCAGCUUAACUGGGGAACUGCGUCUGAUACUGGAUGGCUUGGAUUCGGGAGAGGAAUGCGGAAUUCCAGGUGUAGCGGUGAAGUGCGUAGAUAUCUGGAGGAACACCGGUGGCGAAGGCGGCAUUCUGGACCGACAUUGACGCUGAGGAGCGAAAGCCAGGGGAGCAAACGGG